AAGAAAAGAGUAAGCUAAGCAUUUUCUUAUCACCCACCAAAGAAGCAACAAGAUGUCCCAAUUCUGUGAUCCUUCCGUUGUUAAAAAAAGUGAAUGGCCCGAGCUUGUGUUCGUAGAAUAUUCCGUUGCUGCUAGGAUAAUAGAAGAGGAGAAUCCAAAUGUCAAAGCACAAAAGAUUCUUGCUGGGAGUUCAAGAGAUCAAAAAUUCGAUCCUUCAAGGGUUUUUGUUGAUGUCAAUAUUAAUGAUGUCGUUGUUGUAGUUCCAAAAGUAGGUUAAAGAUUGCACACGAGUAUGGUUGUGCAACUUAUAUGUAUCGAUAUAAAGAAUAUGAAAUUACUAAUAAGGUAGUAGCUAACUACCACUUUAAUUACUAAA